CGUGCUUAACACAUGCAAGUCGAACGAAGCACUCUAUUUGAUUUUCUUCGGAAAUGAAGAUUUUGUGACUGAGUGGCGGACGGGUGAGUAACGCGUGGGUAACCUGCCUCAUACAGGGGGAUAACAGUUGGAAACGACUGCUAAUACCGCAUAAGCGCACAGGAUCGCAUGAUCCGGUGUGAAAAAACUCCGGUGGUAUGAGAUGGACCCGCGUCUGAUUAGCCAGUUGGCAGGGUAACGGCCUACCAAAGCGACGAUCAGUAGCCGACCUGAGAGGGUGACCGGCCACAUUGGGACUGAGACACGGCCCAAACUCCUACGGGAGGCAGCAGUGGGGAAUAUUGCACAAUGGGGGAAACCCUGAUGCAGCGACGCCGCGUGAGCGAAGAAGUAUUUCGGUAUGUAAAGCUCUAUCAGCAGGGAAGAAGAAUGACGGUACCUGACUAAGAAGCACCGGCUAAAUACGUGCCAGCAGCCGCGGUAAUACGUAUGGUGCAAGCGUUAUCCGGAUUUACUGGGUGUAAAGGGAGCGCAGGCGGUGCGGCAAGUCUGAUGUGAAAGCCCGGGGCUCAACCCCGGUACUGCAUUGGAAACUGUCGUACUAGAGUGUCGGAGGGGUAAGUGGAAUUCCUAGUGUAGCGGUGAAAUGCGUAGAUAUUAGGAGGAACACCAGUGGCGAAGGCGGCUUACUGGACGAUAACUGACGCUGAGGCUC
rnacentral:rRNA from 1 species